rnacentral:rRNA from 1 species
CGCUGGCGGUGUGCUUAACACAUGCAAGUGGAGCGACGAACCAGGGCUUGCCCUGGGGCAGAGCCGCGAACGGGUGAGUAACACGUGGGUAACCUACCCCGAUGACUGGGACAACCCGAGGAAACUCGGGCUAAUACCGGAUAUGUCCNACGUUCACGAGAACGUCGAGCAAAGGAAGCUUCGGCCUCCGCAUUGGGAGGGGCCCGCGGCCCAUUAGCUUGUUGGUGGGGUAACGGCCUACCAAGGCUGCGAUGGGUAGCUGGUCUGAGAGGACGAUCAGCCACACUGGGACUGAGACACGGCCCAGACUCCUACGGGAGGCAGCAGUGGGGAAUCUUGCGCAAUGCGCGAAAGCGUGACGCAGCAACACCGCGUGAGGGAAGACGGCCUUCGGGUUGUAAACCUCUUUCAGGAGGGACGAAGGUCGGCCGGUGAAUAGCCGUGCCGACUGACGGUACCUCCAGAAGAAGCUCCGGCUAACUACGUGCCAGCAGCCGCGGUAAUACGUAGGGAGCAAGCGUUGUCCGGAAUCAUUGGGCGUAAAGCGCGCGUAGGCGGCCCGAUAAGUCCGCUGUAAAAGUCAACGGCUCAACUGUUGAAAGCCGGUGGAUACUGUCGGGCUAGAGUACG